UGAGUUUGUGGCUCAGCGGUAGAGCGCUUGCCUCACACGUGUGAGACCCUGGGUUCAAUCCUUAGCACCACUUAA
rnacentral:tRNA from 1 species